rnacentral:lncRNA from 1 species
AGCUGGGUCAUAAGAAUUUCAAGAACACAGUCUUACUUAGUGUUUUAGUCAGGGUUUCUAUUCCUGCACAAACAUCAUGACCAAGAAGCAAAUAGGGGAGGAAAGGGUUUAUUCAGUUUACACUUCCAUACUGCUGUUCAUCACCAAAGGAAGUCAGGACUGGAACUCAAACAGGUCAAGAAGCAGGAGCUGAUGCAGAAGCCAUGGAGGGAUGUUCCUUACUGGCUUGCUUCCCCUGGCUUGCUCAUCCUGCUCUCUUAUAUAACCAAGACUACCAGCCCAGAGAUGGCACCACCCACAAGGGGCCUUUCCCCCUUGAUCACUAAUUGAGAAAAUGCUUUACAGCUGGAUCUCAUGGAGGCAUCUCCCCAACUGAAGCUCCAUUCUCUGUGAUAACCCCAGCUGUGUCAAGUUGACACAAAACCAGCCAAUAUACUUAGAAAUAAUACAGGGUGAUUUUUGAUUUUUUUUUUUGCAUAUGAGUGAGGGUGGUACAUAUGUGUAUUGUGUAGGUGCAUGCAUGUGUUUGAAUGUACAUGUCUGUGCAUGGGCAGAGAGAGAUGGCUUAAGGUGUUCUGGUCAGGUAACUCGUUGGGCCCUAGAGCGAGGAUGGUGGCCAGCAAGUUGAAGUGACCAUCCUGUUUCUGUCCCCUACAAUAUCAGGGUUAGAGACACAUGUGCAAGCACACUGGCUUUUCUUUUUUUUUUUUUUUUUAAAUGUGGAUGCUGGGUUUUAAACUCAGAUCUUCUGAGUUGUAUAGGAAGUGCUCUUUCUAACAGAUUACCUCUUCUGUUAAACCUCCAGGGAAACAAGUUGGCAGUGAUGAAUUGCGGGAAGAAUUUGUUAAUUUGCUUUGCUUAGAGUCCGUUCCCACCAUGUCCGCUUGGAACAUGUUCCUCACUCCCAGCAUGCUCCUGGAGUCUGUUGGCUUUUACCAGAUCAGGUGUUUCUUUGUGAGCUCUUCUGUGGUGCUGGAGAGCUUUGGCUAUGAACCUGCAGAUGUUAGAACAUAGGCAUUUUGGUUUAUGAGGUAAUAACAAAGUGACAGGCUUACAAUGUCAUGGUUUGAAAGUGAAUCCCCUCCCCCCACCCCAUGGGCUCAGAUGUCUGAAUGUGUGGUUUCCAGUGUGUGGCUCUGUUAGGGAGGGUGUGGCCUUCCCAGAAGAAAUCCAUCACCUGGGACAUGCUUUGAGGUUCUAAAGCCAGCAUCAUUUCCCAUUUGCUCUCUUGCGUUUGGUUUAAGAUAUGAGAUCUCUGCUGCUCCAGCCACCAUGCCUGCCUUCGGCUAUGCUUUCUCCCCCCUGAAGGUGAUGGAUUCUUAUCCCUCUGGAACCUUAGGCACAAAUAAGCCCUCCCUCCUCUAGGUUGCUUUGGACCUGGCAUCUUAUCAAAACCAUAGAAAACUAACUGAUGCAGCCAUGUUGAAAACUACAUAUCCAUUCUUUGAAGAAUCGUAUGCCUGUGACCUGCCUUGGAAUCCAGCCCUUAUAAUAAAAUGCUAUGCUGGUAAGAUAAAUCUAACCCACCCGUGCUCUUGAGAAAUCGUAUGUGCUAAGGAGACAGACAAAUAGUCAUAGUCAAGGCUGUGUCUGCUGCCACACUGCUGGAAAGACAAAUGCAGCAGUCUGCAGAGAGGGAGGGUGCUGGUCGGAAUGGGGGGGGGGCGCAUGUGCAAGGUGGCCCCUGUGAUAGGGAAGCAUCUGGCUGGGUGCUCCUUCCACCCAUCUUCUUUUCUUGGCACAUGCUGGUAUCUGAUAGUGUUCUGCCUUUUCCAUUAUUAGCUAUGAAAACAUGAGCUUACCAGAUAGUGUUCAGCCUUGCAUCCCCAGGGACAGGGCAAGCUUGAUGCACAGUGAAGUGAAUGAUUGAUAGAUGGAGCUAUGAAGUGGGAACCCCAGAGCAACUCUCCAUGGAGUGUAUAUGUAAUGCAUGGGAAGUGCCCUUCCAGGCCAUGGUGAGCAUCACAUUUGGAUCCUGGGGCCUUGUGUACUUUUGGAAACCAAUCCAGUGACAUCACAUGGGCAAAACAACCCUGUGAUGUUCGGAUUCAUUUUCUGGAGCAACUUUGGAAUGAUCAUUCUUUGGCAAAUAAACAUUUGGAGGUGUGUGGAAGGUAUUGUUAUGUUAACCAAGCUAACGUUGAACUUCUGGCCUCAGCCUCCCAGUGAACUGAGUCUGGUGUUAGUGCACAGUCCCUAUAGCAUUGGAAGAAUGAUCAGUGUGGACAUGGCUGCCUACUUAAAAAUCUAAGAAGUUGCCUUGGGACACAAUAUGCUGAAUUUCUUCUCAGCUCACAGAGAAGUUGGAGGUCACUAACUAUAAAGGAUUGAAAGUCUGUCAGCUCAUCAUAUAGUUUUUGUUUAAUCCUUUUGUAGAAUUUUUGCCAGGCAGGAAUUGAUGCUAUCUAGAAGACAAAAAGAGAUGGUCUGGCUUUGGUCAAAUAAAACCAUAAAACCAAGCAGGGUUUCAUGAGC